GAACGCACAUUGCGCCCUCUGGUAUUCCGGAGGGCAUGCCUGUUCGAGCGUCAUUACAACCCUCAAGCUCUGCUUGGUAUUGGGCCUCACCGGCAACGGUGUGCCCUAAAAUCAGUGGCGGUGCCAUCUGGCUCUAAGCGUAGUAAAUCUCUCGCUCUCGGUGCCCGGUGGACGCUUGCCAGCAACCCCCAAUUUUUUACAGGUUGACCUCGGAUCAGGUAGGGAUACCCGCUGAACUUAAG
rnacentral:misc_RNA from 1 species